rnacentral:lncRNA from 1 species
GGUGGCUCUGGGAAGUGUUGGUUCCUGUGUGUAACAUGGUGGUGAGAGCAAGGAGAAAAGCUGUUUGGAGAUCUCCUGGUCCGUACUCUCCCAUCUCUGUGUGAGGUCUGCUGGUCCUGCUUUCCCAUCUCUGGAUGCCUGGCUGGAGCCAAAGGUGACCUCUCACUGCUUUCAAGCAGGAUCCAUCCUCUGGCUGAGUGGCUGGGCUGGGGUGGCCAGCAGAGCAGCAUGUGCUCCUCCUGGCUCAGCAGCAAGUAAGACAAUCCUGGGACACUGCAGAAGAUAUAAGGAGAAGAUCAGCAAAAGACCCACUGUGGGUCUGAAAAGCAGCUGUGCCUACAGCUCUCCAGUGGUGGGAUAUCUGAACUGCCUCAAGAUGAGCAGGGAAUUGAACCAAGGACUCCUACAAUCUGUUUUCCCUGAUGCUUCUCAAGUGAAAACACAAUGUUACUCCCCAGAAAUGGCAGAGACGGGUCCUGUAAAAAGUAGGAGGAUCAGUACUGUGCCAGCAGCAGGACUCUUCAGCCCAUUGACAGUAACUGCUCUGCAAGGUGGAUGAAUGAUGAUCUCAUUGUGAGCCUAUCUGAUGUUUUCCUAAAAAGCACAAUAAAGUGACUUUCCCAAGGUGUUGAGGAAAAUCUGUGGCAUGGGGGCAUUAAGGGCUCCAUUUUGGGGUGAAAUUUUGCAUCAGCCUCUAGUUUGCUUGAAACCUCAUCAAAAAUCGUGCAGUGCUCUGGUAUAGCACUGCAUGGAGUUAUACUGGCACAACAACAGGCUGAAAAUUCUCUCAUGGGCUUUAUUCAUCUCAACAUUUGCCUUUCAACCCAACCUAGUCAUGUAUGAUCCUGCCAUGACCAGUAGGGAUGGAUACCUCCAGAUGGAAAAUCAUCCUCUCCCAAGGGAAACAUCUAAGCCAC